AGUUUGAUCCUGGCUCAGGAUGAACGCUAGCUACAGGCUUAACACAUGCAAGUCGAGGGGCAGCGGGAUUGAAGCUUGCUUCAAUUGCCGGCGACCGGCGCACGGGUGAGUAACGCGUAUCCAACCUUCCGUACACUCAGGGAUAGCCUUUCGAAAGAAAGAUUAAUACCUGAUGGUAUGAUGAGAUUGCAUGAUAGCAUCAUUAAAGAUUUAUCGGUGUACGACGGGGAUGCGUUCCAUUAGGUAGUAGGCGGGGUAACGGCCCACCUAGCCAACGAUGGAUAGGGGUUCUGAGAGGAAGGUCCCCCACAUUGGAACUGAGACACGGUCCAAACUCCUACGGGAGGCAGCAGUGAGGAAUAUUGGUCAAUGGACGAGAGUCUGAACCAGCCAAGUAGCGUGAAGGAUGAAGGUCCUACGGAUUGUAAACUUCUUUUAUAAGGGAAUAAACCCUCCCACGUGUGGGAGCUUGUAUGUACCUUAUGAAUAAGCAUCGGCUAACUCCGUGCCAGCAGCCGCGGUAAUACGGAGGAUGCGAGCGUUAUCCGGAUUUAUUGGGUUUAAAGGGAGCGCAGACGGGUCGUUAAGUCAGCUGUGAAAGUUUGGGGCUCAACCUUAAAAUUGCAGUUGAUACUGGCGUCCUUGAGUGCGGUUGAGGUGUGCGGAAUUCGUGGUGUAGCGGUGAAAUGCUUAGAUAUCACGAAGAACUCCGAUUGCGAAGGCAGCACACUAAUCCGUAACUGACGUUCAUGCUCGAAAGCGUGGGUAUCAAACAGGAUUAGAUACCCUGGUAGUCCACACGGUAAACGAUGGAUACUCGCUGUUGGCGAUAUACUGUCAGCGGCUUAGCGAAAGCGUUAAGUAUCCCACCUGGGGAGUACGCCGGCAACGGUGAAACUCAAA
rnacentral:rRNA from 1 species